rnacentral:tRNA from 1 species
GGGUAUAUAGCUCAGUGGUGGACGGGUGCCUAGCAUGCACAAGGCCUGGGUUCAAUCCUCAGUACCUCCA